rnacentral:rRNA from 1 species
GAUGAACGCUGGCGGCGUGCCUAAUACAUGCAAGUCGAGCGAACAGAUGAGGAGCUUGCUCCUCUGACGUUAGCGGCGGACGGGUGAGUAACACGUGGAUAACCUACCUAUAAGACUGGGAUAACUUCGGGAAACCGGAGCUAAUACCGGAUAAUAUAUUGAACCGCAUGGUUCAAUAGUGAAAGACGGUUUUGCUGUCACUUAUAGAUGGAUCCGCGCCGCAUUAGCUAGUUGGUAAGGUAACGGCUUACCAAGGCAACGAUGCGUAGCCGACCUGAGAGGGUGAUCGGCCACACUGGAACUGAGACACGGUCCAGACUCCUACGGGAGGCAGCAGUAGGGAAUCUUCCGCAAUGGGCGAAAGCCUGACGGAGCAACGCCGCGUGAGUGAUGAAGGUCUUCGGAUCGUAAAACUCUGUUAUUAGGGAAGAACAAAUGUGUAAGUAACUAUGCACGUCUUGACGGUACCUAAGCAGAAAGCCACGGCUACUACGUG